AUUGGCAAUCAAAGCUGCAGCCAUAACGUUCUGGGAGCAGAUCGCCUCCCCAGUGCUGCGGUCCCCAAACACGGACAAAGGCCUCUCCAUUUUCACGGCAGCGGUACACGUUGAAUUCUGCUCACACCGCGGGCAACCAGUAUCGCAGCCCCUCGGCUGACUGGCGACCACAGCGGUGGCUGCGACAGCGUGGAGCGAACCCGAGCGAUUCUCCAAGAGGUGCUCAACCCAAGUCUAUUUUCAAAUAACACUAUACUACUUCACAGUCAAAAGACACCGAAGGUCGUCGACACAGCAUCCAAAAAUGCUUCCUGGGGAAGAUGGACCAAGACGCUGCCGCGACAGGCUCCAAGAGGAAGAGUGGUAGCAGGCUAUAACACAGAGGAUAAUCUUGUCUCCAAAAGAGCAGAUUGGAUUUGAUGAGACUUAGCAAACCAGCCAUUCACCUGGGCAAGAUUGUCAAAAUUCAAACUUGAAUUGUAAGCUAAUUUGGAACAAUCAAUGGUAUUGGGAAAAAAAAAACUAGAGAUGUUUUUGGCAAUACACAGGCAGCAAGGGGAAAAAGCUUGGAGAGUUGGAUACAUUCAUUUUGAAAAUUUUCUUUUUUCUUUUCUUUUUUUUUUUUUUUUUGAGACAAGGCUUCACUCUGUGACCCAGGCUGGAGUGCAGUGGUGCAAUCACAGCUCACUUCAGCCUUGACUUCUUCAGGCUCAGGUGAUCCUCCCACCUCAGUCUCCUGGGCAGCUGGAACUACCGGUGUGCAUCACCAUACCUGGCUAAUUUUUCGUACUUUUUGUAGAGAUGGGGUUUCACCACGUUGCCUAUGCUGGUCUCAAACUCCUGGCCUCAAGAUAUCCACUUGCCUUGGCCUCCCAGCGUGUUGGAAUUACUGGCAUCAGCCACUGUGCCCAGCCUUGAAAAUUUCUCCCUAUUUAUAUUUUUAAGUUCAGAGACUAGUAGCUUCUGAGAAGAUGAUGGUUUACAAGAUUUCACUUAGAACCAACAUUGCAUGGAUUUAACUUUUCCAAAAUGGCUUAUUACUUAGCAGGUCUGCCAUUUCCAUUUAUAGAGAUAGAUUUUAAUUCACACAAUUUGGUCAUUAAAAAUCUAAUCAUGUGUCAUGUACCCUGCUGGGCAUUCUUUAGAAAUGUAGGAAAUCUUUUAUCUCAGCAUUCAAUCUAACUUCUAAAAUAACCAAAAUGGGGGAAAUAAAGCCAUUGCAAUAUGCUCUACCAUAGCCAAACAGGGAGUAGAGAUGGCAUAGCAAAGAAGGAUUAAGAACUUUCACAUGUCACUUGAUGCACUGAGUUAAAAUUCUGAGUUAUGACUAUGUGAAUUAUUUCUCUACCUGUGUUGUAUAUCUCUCUGUAUAUCUAUGUAUGUAUUCUUUCAACAUGCUAAUAUGCAUCAGCUGUCAUCCAUGCAGAACACUGCUUCUCAAACAUUAGCUUGGGGAGCUUGCUAAUGAUUCAGUAGCUCUUGGGUGGGGUCUGAGAAUUUGCACUGUUAACAAGUUCCAGAUGCUGGUCCUUGGACCAUACCUUGAGUGUCAAUUAUGUAGAAGCUUAUUUAUGCAUAUGUUUGCAUACUAUUGGCUUUUUUUAAAUGGAAGACUUCUGUGGCACAUUGAAGUCAUUUUUCUAUAGUUGAUAAACUGAUAGAUUAGUUUUGUUUUCACUUCUUUCUUAUUAG
rnacentral:lncRNA from 10 species